rnacentral:rRNA from 1 species
GAUGAACGCUGGCGGCGUGCCUAAUACAUGCAAGUAGAACGCUGAAGGAAGGAGCUUGCUCUUUCCGGAUGAGUCGCGAACGGGUGAGUAACGCGUAGGUAACCUGCCUGGUAGCGGGGGAUAACUAUCGGAAACGAUAGCUAAUACCGCAUAACAGUAGAUGUUGCAUGAUAUCUACUUAAAAGGUGCAAUUGCACCACUACCAGACGGACCUGCGUUGUAUUAGCUAGUUGGUGAGGUAACGGCUCACCAAGGCGACGAUACAUAGCCGACCUGAGAGGGUGAUCGGCCAAACGGGGACGGAGACACGGCCCAGACUCCUACGGGAGGCAGCAGUAGGGAAUCUUCGGCAAUGGACGGAAGUCGGACCGAGCAACGCCGGGUGGGUGGAGAAGGGUUUCGGAUCGUAAAGCUCUGGUGUAAGAGAAGAACGAGUGUGAGAGUGGAAAGUUCACACUGUGACGGUAUCUUACCAGAAAGGGACGGCUAACUACGUG